rnacentral:ncRNA from 1 species
CUCGGUACCGGCCCCAAAAGGGCUAAAAAGGGAACAAGGCGCGCCACGGCGUAACCUUGGCUGUACCCGCAACUGUAGGCGGUGAGUAAUGGGUCACCGAAGCCACUGGCGAUAAGCCGGGAAGGCAGACCCGCUACGUGAAGCCGCAAGCCAGGAAACCUGCCGGUGC